CCUACGGGAGGCUGCAGUGAGGAAUAUUGGUCAAUGGACGAGAGUCUGAACCAGCCAAGUAGCGUGAAGGAUGACUGCCCUAUGGGUUGUAAACUUCUUUUAUAUGGGAAUAAAAUGUUCCACGUGUGGGAUUUUGUAUGGACCAUAUGAAUAAGGCUCGGGUAAAUCCGUGCCAACAGCCGCGGUAAUACGGAGGAUCCGAGCUUUUUUCGGAUUUAUUGGGGUUAAAGGGAGCGUAGGUGGAGUGUUAAGUCAGUUGUGAAAGUUUGCGGCUCAACCGUAAAAUUGCAGUUGAAACUGGCAGUCUUGAGUACUGUAGAGGUGUGCGGAAUUCGUAGUGUAGCGGUGAAAUGCUUAGAUAUCACGAAGAACUCCGAUUGCGAAGGCAGCUCACUGGACUGCAACUGACACUGAGGCUCGAAAGUGUGGGUAUCAAACAGGAUUAGAUACCCGGGUAGUC
rnacentral:rRNA from 1 species